rnacentral:lncRNA from 1 species
AAGACGAAACAGAACAAGCAUUUUAUUCAGAUAUGUCUGCAAUGUUUCCUUUGUAUUCACCGUUACAGUCCUUCAGGUGGAAGCUCCACUCCGUCGCUUUCUUUUUCUUCGCUAGCUUGUCGGGACAUAACAAUGAUUAUGCUAGUGAGGCGUAAGUAGAAAUUACAAAUAAUGCGGCGAGGUAUUCAUAGACAACAGCGUUGAUGGUAAGACACAUGACGACAGCUCCCAGCUUCUCUAAA